AGCCGAUUGGUUCACUGAUACGGGGCUUGACUCCCUCGAGAAAGCUCCAUUGUUUUGUUGUCUCCUUGUAAAUACAAUUAGAGCACAGGAAGUAAGGACCGGCCAAUCAAGUGGAAAAAUAACAAAGAGGUACAGCAACAAACUCAUCUGUCCCGUCGAAUGGCUUCAUAAUGCUCAAGACUAAUCGCGCUAAUAUUCGCAGCAUGUCUCUGGACCGCGGUCUCUGCCAAGAUUACGUUCAUUGCGUCAUGAGUGUAAUCGACUUCUGAUCACGUACUGGAGUGUGUGUGCACUUCGUCCGUACGGAAAUGUCAGCUACAUGUUUUACACAUCCCGCACGCUAAUACUCUGCUUAAACAAAAAAAAACUUGAAUCCUGUAUGUAGUAGGAAAUGUAGAUGAAGUGUGAGCUUCAAAUUAUAAAGUUCCUCAGCUUCUAA